GAUGAAGAACGCAGCGAAAUGCGAUAAGUAAUGUGAAUUGCAGAAUUCAGUGAAUCAUCGAAUCUUUGAACGCACAUUGCGCUCCCUGGUAUUCCGGGGAGCAUGCCUGUUCGAGCGUCAUUACAACCCUCAAGCUCUGCUUGGUGUUGGGCCCCGCCGCCCCGGCGGGCCCUAAAGUCAGUGGCGGUGCCGUCCGGCUCCGAGUGUAGUAAUUUUUCUCGCUUUGGAGGCCCGGGCGCGUGCUUGCCAUCAACCCCCAAUUUUUUUCAGGUUGACCUCGGAUCGGGUAGGGAUACCCGCUGAACUUAAGCAUAUCAAUAAGCGGAGGA
rnacentral:misc_RNA from 1 species